AAAUGCGAUAAUUAAUGUGAAUCGCAGAAUUCAGUGAAUCAUCGAGUCUUUGAACGCACAUUGCGCCCCCUGGUAUUCCGGGGGGCAUGCCUGUCCGAGCGUCAUUGCUGCCCUCAAGCACGGCUUGUGUGUUGGGCUUCCGUCCCUGGCAACGGGGACGGGCCCAAAAGGCAGUGGCGGCACCAUGUCUGGUCCUCGAGCGUAUGGGGCUUUGUCACCCGCUCCCGUAGGUCCAGCUGGCAGCUAGCCUCGCAACCAAUCUUUUUAACCAGGUUGACCUCGGAUCAGGUAGGGAUACCCGCUGAACUUAAGC
rnacentral:misc_RNA from 1 species